AUUCAGAUGACGAGUCCAAAAUAGGACAAAACCCGCGUCCUAAAU
rfam:Schistosoma curassoni strain Dakar, Senegal genome assembly, scaffold: SCTD_scaffold0000559